UACGUAGGGUGCAAGCGUUAAUCGGAAUUACUGGGCGUAAAGCGUGCGCAGGCGGUUCGUUGUGUCGGCGGUGAAAGCCCCGGGCUUAACCUGGGAAUGGCCGUUGAAACUGGCGAACUGGAGUGUGGCAGAGGGGGUGGAAUUCCGCGUGUAGCAGUGAAAUGCGUAGAGAUGCGGAGGAACACCGAUGGCGAAGGCAGCCCCCUGGGCUAACACUGACGCUCAGGCACGAAAGCGUGGGGAGCAAACAGG
rnacentral:rRNA from 1 species